rnacentral:lncRNA from 1 species
CGCGCGAUUAUUAAGCUGAGGCCUUUUCCAUUUUCUUUUUCCCUCUCUCUCUCUUUGUUUCUUAAGCGCUAGGGGGGAGAUGCAAGUUGGCCUGGCUGGCUGGCACGAGGGAGAUGGCGGCUGUGCAACUCCAGGUCGUCGUCGUCGUGACGCUCGCAAGUGGGCGGGGGCUGCCUGCGCCUGCGCCUGCUGGUGGUAGCCUUCCCGUUCGCACCCCAGGCCCCCCCUUCCACCGCCCGUUUGACGGACGGGUUCAAGCGAAAAAAAAAAAUCUGUCGACUUGAACAGCCGAACAGGUGAUCAAAUCGUCAUCGAAACCGUGAGCGCCCAACGAACGCUCGCUCGCUCGCUCGAUCGAUCGAACGUUGGGCGCUUGACUUUUUCUUUUAUCCCUUUCAAGUUUCUGUGCGUGAGUAAUAAGGAGGAAGGAGAUGGCGGUUUUGUGAGGCGUUUUUAAUGCAGAUAACAGUGUUUGUUUCAGCCAGGGCGGUUCAUGUCCUCAUUAUUUGCCGCGUUAUUACAAGGUGGGUGUGCGAAUUACGCCAAGAAAACUAGUUUGAUCGAUCGAUCGAUCGACCGGCCAAUGGAAGGGUAUCAUCGCCCAUCGCUUGCUUAAUUAGUGCACAGAAGGGCAUUUGCUGUAUAGAUAGCACAACUUAAAGACGAACGUACACUUUGUGUCAGAGAACAGAUCUAAUGAUCUAUCUAGGGAGUAGUAGUACUACCGUGUUUAUGUGUUCGUAUGUACUGUGAUACACCAACCAACUCGAGCAUACAAAUGGAAUUGCAGGCUGUCAAUUAUACAUGUCAUUUCUUGAAUCUUUUUGGACAAGGGAGGAUGGUUGUGUGUGUCUCUCGCAACAACGAGAAAAAAAAAUGGAGAGGAGAAAGAGGGGUCAAAUGUGAAGAAACCAAAGAGGAAAAAAAAAGAAAGAUCACGCGCCGAAGAAACACACAUCCGUCCGCCCGGAAAAACGAUCCAUCGGUUAGUUACCAAUGGCCCGGCGGUGGAGAGGGCUCACGCGCCGGCCCUGACGCCGGCGGCGAGCUUCUCGGCGGUCUUGGCGAGCGACUGCAGGUUGCACUUGACGAUGGUGUCGACGAACACGCGGGUGUCCUCGGGCGUGUUGCCUGAGAGGGCUCCCGCGCCGGCCCUGACGCCGGCGGCGAGCUUCUCGGCGGUCUUGGCGAGCGACUGCAGGUUGCACUUGACGAUGGUGUCGACGAACACGCGGGUGUCCUCGGGCGUGUUGCCUGCGGGGACGUCGACGACGUAGGACUCCACGACGAUGGUGGCGG